GGGUUGUGAGGUUAAGCGACUAAGCGUACACGGUGGAUGCCCUGGCAGUCAGAGGCGAUGAAGGACGUGCUAAUCUGCGAUAAGCGUCGGUAAGGUGAUAUGAACCGUUAUAACCGGCGAUUUCCGAAUGGGGAAACCCAGUGUGAUUCGUCACACUAUCAUUAACUGAAUCCAUAGGUUAAUGAGGCGAACCGGGGGAACUGAAACAUCUAAGUACCCCGAGGAAAAGAAAUCAACCGAGAUUCCCCCAGUAGCGGCGAGCGAACGGGGAGCAGCCCAGAGCCUGAAUCAGUGUGUGUGUUAGUGGAAGCGUCUGGAAAGGCGUGCGAUACAGGGUGACAGCCCCGUACACAAAAAUGCACAUACUGUGAGCUCGAUGAGUAGGGCGGGACACGUGGUAUCCUGUCUGAAUAUGGGGGGACCAUCCUCCAAGGCUAAAUACUCCUGACUGACCGAUAGUGAACCAGUACCGUGAGGGAAAGGCGAAAAGAACCCCGGCGAGGGGAGUGAAAAAGAACCUGAAACCGUGUACGUACAAGCAGUGGGAGCACGCUUAGGCGUGUGACUGCGUACCUUUUGUAUAAUGGGUCAGCGACUUAUAUUCUGUAGCAAGGUUAACCGAAUAGGGGAGCCGAAGGGAAACCGAGUCUUAACUGGGCGUUAAGUUGCAGGGUAUAGACCCGAAACCCGGUGAUCUAGCCAUGGGCAGGUUGAAGGUUGGGUAACACUAACUGGAGGACCGAACCGACUAAUGUUGAAAAAUUAGCGGAUGACUUGUGGCUGGGGGUGAAAGGCCAAUCAAACCGGGAGAUAGCUGGUUCUCCCCGAAAGCUAUUUAGGUAGCGCCUCGUGAAUUCAUCUCCGGGGGUAGAGCACUGUUUCGGCAAGGGGGUCAUCCCGACUUACCAACCCGAUGCAAACUGCGAAUACCGGAGAAUGUUAUUACGGGAGACACACGGCGGGUGCUAACGUCCGUCGUGAAGAGGGAAACAACCCAGACCGCCAGCUAAGGUCCCAAAGUCAUGGUUAAGUGGGAAACGAUGUGGGAAGGCCCAGACAGCCAGGAUGUUGGCUUAGAAGCAGCCAUCAUUUAAAGAAAGCGUAAUAGCUCACUGGUCGAGUCGGCCUGCGCGGAAGAUGUAACGGGGCUAAACCAUGCACCGAAGCUGCGGCAGCGACGCUUAUGCGUUGUUGGGUAGGGGAGCGUUCUGUAAGCCUGUGAAGGUGUGCUGUGAGGUAUGCUGGAGGUAUCAGAAGUGCGAAUGCUGACAUAAGUAACGAUAAAGCGGGUGAAAAGCCCGCUCGCCGGAAGACCAAGGGUUCCUGUCCAACGUUAAUCGGGGCAGGGUGAGUCGACCCCUAAGGCGAGGCCGAAAGGCGUAGUCGAUGGGAAACAGGUUAAUAUUCCUGUACUUGGUGUUACUGCGAAGGGGGGACGGAGAAGGCUAUGUUGGCCGGGCGACGGUUGUCCCGGUUUAAGCGUGUAGGCUGGUUUUCCAGGCAAAUCCGGAAAAUCAAGGCCGAGGCGUGAUGACGAGGCACUACGGUGCUGAAGCAACAAAUGCCCUGCUUCCAGGAAAAGCCUCUAAGCAUCAGGUAACAUCAAAUCGUACCCCAAACCGACACAGGUGGUCAGGUAGAGAAUACCAAGGCGCUUGAGAGAACUCGGGUGAAGGAACUAGGCAAAAUGGUGCCGUAACUUCGGGAGAAGGCACGCUGAUACGUAGGUGAAGCGACUUGCUCGUGGAGCUGAAAUCAGUCGAAGAUACCAGCUGGCUGCAACUGUUUAUUAAAAACACAGCACUGUGCAAACACGAAAGUGGACGUAUACGGUGUGACGCCUGCCCGGUGCCGGAAGGUUAAUUGAUGGGGUUAGCGCAAGCGAAGCUCUUGAUCGAAGCCCCGGUAAACGGCGGCCGUAACUAUAACGGUCCUAAGGUAGCGAAAUUCCUUGUCGGGUAAGUUCCGACCUGCACGAAUGGCGUAAUGAUGGCCAGGCUGUCUCCACCCGAGACUCAGUGAAAUUGAACUCGCUGUGAAGAUGCAGUGUACCCGCGGCAAGACGGAAAGACCCCGUGAACCUUUACUAUAGCUUGACACUGAACAUUGAGCCUUGAUGUGUAGGAUAGGUGGGAGGCUUUGAAGUGUGGACGCCAGUCUGCAUGGAGCCGACCUUGAAAUACCACCCUUUAAUGUUUGAUGUUCUAACGUGGACCCGUGAUCCGGGUUGCGGACAGUGUCUGGUGGGUAGUUUGACUGGGGCGGUCUCCUCCUAAAGAGUAACGGAGGAGCACGAAGGUUGGCUAAUCCUGGUCGGACAUCAGGAGGUUAGUGCAAUGGCAUAAGCCAGCUUGACUGCGAGCGUGACGGCGCGAGCAGGUGCGAAAGCAGGUCAUAGUGAUCCGGUGGUUCUGAAUGGAAGGGCCAUCGCUCAACGGAUAAAAGGUACUCCGGGGAUAACAGGCUGAUACCGCCCAAGAGUUCAUAUCGACGGCGGUGUUUGGCACCUCGAUGUCGGCUCAUCACAUCCUGGGGCUGAAGUAGGUCCCAAGGGUAUGGCUGUUCGCCAUUUAAAGUGGUACGCGAGCUGGGUUUAGAACGUCGUGAGACAGUUCGGUCCCUAUCUGCCGUGGGCGCUGGAGAACUGAGGGGGGCUGCUCCUAGUACGAGAGGACCGGAGUGGACGCAUCACUGGUGUUCGGGUUGUCAUGCCAAUGGCACUGCCCGGUAGCUAAAUGCGGAAGAGAUAAGUGCUGAAAGCAUCUAAGCACGAAACUUGCCCCGAGAUGAGUUCUCCCUGACCCUUUAAGGGUCCUGAAGGAACGUUGAAGACGACGACGUUGAUAGGCCGGGUGUGUAAGCGCAGCGAUGCGUUGAGCUAACCGGUACUAAUGAACCGUGAGGCUUAACCUUACAACGCCGAAG
rnacentral:rRNA from 4 species